AGUGAACGCUGGCGGUAGGCCUAACACAUGCAAGUCGAACGGCAGCACAGUAAGAGCUUGCUCUUACGGGUGGCGAGUGGCGGACGGGUGAGGAAUACAUCGGAAUCUACUUUUUCGUGGGGGAUAACGUAGGGAAACUUACGCUAAUACCGCAUACGACCUACGGGUGAAAGCAGGGGAUCUUCGGACCUUGCGCGAUUGAAUGAGCCGAUGUCGGAUUAGCUAGUUGGCGGGGUAAAGGCCCACCAAGGCGACGAUCCGUAGCUGGUCUGAGAGGAUGACCAGCCCCACUGGAACUGGGACACGGUCCACACUCCUACGGGAGGCCGCAGUGGGGACUAUUGGACAAUGGGCGCAAGCCUGAUCCAGCCAUACCGCGUGGGUGAAGAAGGCCUUCGGGUUGUAAAGCCCUUUUGUUGGGAAAGAAGAGCAGCAGGUUAAUACCCCGCUGUUCUGACGGUACCCAAAGAAUAAGCACCGGCUAACUUCGUG
rnacentral:rRNA from 1 species